GCUGUAAUUCGGUGGCAGAGCAUCUGCUUUGCAUGCAGGAAGCCCCAGGUUCCAUCCUUGGCAUAUCCA